CUUCGUAAUUUUUAUAUUUUUUUUUAUUAUUAUUUCUUAUAACAAUUCUACUAAUUUAGACGCAUUUCAACAAUUCGCAAUACAAAUGUGUCGGAGCUUAGGUAAAUAGCAAAACAUACUAAAAAUAUACUAAAUAUACAAAUUUGAGUUAUCUAAAACUAAUAUUUUAUAAAUAUAUAUAAAAAGGGGAAGAGUAACGUCUCAGAUGUGAAACAUACAAAAGCAAUGAUUUUCUUUGUCUAGGCUUAUAGUGUAAGAUAAAUGAUGACACGUCGGCGCGUACCAUUUUUUUGUUGCCAGUACCAUUUUUUUAGUUAGUUCGACAUUUCCGAGUAAUCGUCUAACAUCCC
rnacentral:misc_RNA from 1 species